rnacentral:rRNA from 1 species
UACGAAGGGGCUAGCGUUGUUCGGAAUUACUGGGCGUAAAGCGUGCGCAGGCGGCUUCUCAAGUCAGGGGUGAAAGCCCAGAGCUCAACUCUGGAAUUGCCUUUGAGACUGAGUGGCUUGAGUACGAGAGAGGUGAGUGGAAUUCCCAGUGUAGAGGUGAAAUUCGUAGAUAUUGGGAAGAACACCGGUGGCGAAGGCGGCUCACUGGCUCGCAACUGACGCUGGAGGCGCGAAAGCGUGGGGAGCAAACAGG